rnacentral:rRNA from 1 species
GGAUUAAAUGGGGUGAAGGCUCUGGGUCCACCUCCCACCCGUGUUUAUUAUACCUUGUUGCUUCGGCGGGCCCGCCGUCAGGCCGCCGGGGGGCUUCUGCCCCCGGGCCCGCGCCCGCCGAAGACAUCUCGAACUCUGUCUGAAGAUUGUAGUCUGAGUAUAAAUAUAAAUUAUUUAAAACUUUCAACAACGGAUCUCUUGGUUCCGGCAUCGAUGAAGAACGCAGCGAAAUGCGAUACGUAAUGUGAAUUGCAGAAUUCAGUGAAUCAUCGAGUCUUUGAACGCACAUUGCGCCCUCUGGUAUUCCGGAGGGCAUGCCUGUCCGAGCGUCAUUGCUGCCCUCAAGCACGGCUUGUGUGUUGGGCCCCGUCCUCCGAUCCCGGGGGACGGGCCCGAAAGGCAGCGGCGGCACCGCGUCCGGUCCUCGAGCGUAUGGGGCUUUGUCACCCGCUCUGUAGGCCCGGCCGGCGCUUGCCGAUCAACCAAAUUUUUAUCCAGGUUGACCUCGGAUCAGGUAGGGAUACCCGCUGAACU